GAUGAACGCUAGCGGCAGGCUUAAUACAUGCAAGUCGAGGGGCAGCAGGACUGUAGCAAUACAGUUGCUGGCGACCGGCAAACGGGUGCGGAACACGUACGCAACCUUCCUUUAAGUGAGGGAUAGCCCAGGGAAACUUGGAUUAAUACCUCGUAAUAUUUGAGAGUGGCAUCAUUUUAUAAUUAUAGUUCCGACGCUUGAAGAUGGGCGUGCGCCUGUUUAGGUAGUUGGCGGGGUAACGGCCCACCAAGCCUUCGAUCAGUAACUGGUGUGAGAGCACGACCAGUCACACGGGCACUGAGACACGGGCCCGACUCCUACGGGAGGCAGCAGUAAGGAAUAUUGGUCAAUGGACGCAAGUCUGAACCAGCCAUGCUGCGUGGAGGAUGAAGGUCCUCUGGAUUGUAAACUUCUUUUAUCUGGGAAGAAAUCCAUAUUUUCUAAUGUGGUUGACGGUACCAGAUGAAUAAGCACCGGCUAACUCCGUGCCAGCAGCCGCAGUAACAC
rnacentral:rRNA from 1 species